UCUUAAUAGUGGUUUUGACAUUUUUACAUGAAUGUCAAUAAUUACAUGAAUGAAAGUAUUCUAAUUAGAUUGAAAAUUAAUUUAACUUUUAAAUGAAAUUUUAUGUUCAAAAUGUAGAAACUUAACAUUGAGGUACAAAUUGUUUAAUGUAUUCAAUUGAAAAUUGAAAUGGGGAAUGUGUCAAAGAGACAACAACCCAACCAAAAAGCAGACAACAACCGAAGGCCAACAAUGGGUCUUAAAUACUACGAGAAACUCCAGCACCCGAUGGUGUGCUUUAGCUGGCCCCUAAAGUAAAAUGUAUACUAGUUCAGUGAUAACGGAUGUCAUACUAAACUCCGAAAUAUACACAAGAAACUAAACAUAAAAAUCAUACAAGACUAACAAAGGACUUGGAACAGGCGCAAAAAUGCGGCGAUGUUAAACAUGUUUUUUUUAAAUCUCAACCCUCCCCUUAUACCUGUAACCAAUGUACUAAACAAGCACACAACAAUUCGCACAGUAAAAUUCAGUUCAAAUGUAGAAUGUUAAUUUCAUGUUUUGUUGUUAUAUAUGUAUUUAUCACAGAUACAGAUUUAUAAUUAGAAACAAAAUAAUUCUGUGUGAAGUAGAUAUGAG
rnacentral:lncRNA from 1 species